ACAGCGGCGAACAGGUGAGUAAUACUUAGGAAUCUACCCUUUGAUGAGGAAUACCCUCGAGAAAUCGGGGUUAAUACUGCAUAAGUCGAUGAAUAAUCGAGAAAGAUGGCCUCUUUGCUAUCGCCGAAGGAUGAGCCUAUGCACUAUUAGCUAGUUGGUAGAGUAAAAGCCUACCAAGACGAAGAUGGUUAGUCGGCCUGAGAGGGUGUACGACCACAAUGGAACUGAAACACGGUCCAUACUCCUACGGGAGGCAGCAGUAGGGAAUAUUGCACAAUAGGCGCAAGCCUGAUGCAGCGACGCCGCGUGGAGGAUGAAGGCUUUCGAGUUGUAAACUCCUGUUAAGUGGGAAGAAAGACUGUUAACUAAUAAUUAGCAGAGAUGACGGUACCACUAGAGAAAGCACCGGCAAACUUCGUGCCAGCAGCCGCGGUAAUACGAAGGGUGCAAGCGUUAUUCGGAGUUACUGGGCGUAAAGAGUAUGUAGGCGGUUUGUUAAGUUAGUUGUUAAAGACCACGGCUCAACCGUGGAAAGGCAGCUGAUACUGAUAAGCUAGAGCGCAGAAGAGAAAAGUGGAAUUCCCAGAGUAGCGGUAAAAUGCGUAGAUCUCGGGAGGAACACCGGUUGCGAAGACGGCUUCUUGGUCUGUGGCUGACGCUAAAGUACGAAAGCGUGGGGAGCAAACAGGAUUAGAUACCCUGGUAGUCCACGCUAUAAACGAUGAUCACUGGAUGGUGGGUCGGGCAUAGCCUGAUCUGUGUCGAAGCUAACACGUUAAGUGAUCCGCCUGGAAAGUACGGUCGCAAGAUUAAAACUCAAAGGAAUUGACGGGGGUCCGCACAAGCGGUGGAACAUGUGGUUUAAUUCGACUCUACACGAGGAACCUUACCUGGGUUUGAC
rnacentral:rRNA from 1 species